UACAGAGGGUGCGAGCGUUAAUCGGAAUUACUGGGCGUAAAGCGUGCGUAGACGGUUAUUUAAGUCGGGUGUGAAAGCCCCGGGCUCAACCUGGGAAUUGCAUUCGAGACUGAAUAGCUAGGGUACGGUAGAGGGAAGCGGAAUUUCCGGUGUAGCGGUGAAAUGCGUAGAGAUCCGGAGGAACACCAGUGGCGAAGGCGACCCGCUGGGUCACACCUGACACUGAGACGCGACAGCAUGGGGAGCGAACGGG
rnacentral:rRNA from 1 species